rnacentral:rRNA from 1 species
UACGUAGGGGGCAAGCGUUGUCCGGAUUCAUUGGGCGUAAAGAGCGUGUAGGCGGCCAGGUAGGUCGGUUGUGAAAACUGGAGGCUCAACCUUCAGAGGUCGACCGAAACCAUCUGGCUAGAGUCCGGGAGAGGAGAGUGGAAUUCCUGGUGUAGCGGUGAAAUGCGCAGAUAUCAGGAGGAACACCGGUGGCGAAGGCGGAUCUCUGGGCCUUACCUGACGCUCAGGCACGAAAGCUAGGGGAGCGAACAGG